ACACAGGGAAGGAGGUGGUCCGAUCAAUGAUUGACGUACGGACUUGUGAGGUGGCUGCGCGCUAGCAGCUGGUGACGGGAUCACUCGCCACCGCGCAGCGAAUCCCAACGCAGUCACCCGACCCGCGGGGGCCGAGAUCUUGUCCACUCGGCAUUCAACCCCGCGGGUCGUUCCGU
rnacentral:sRNA from 1 species